CAUUGAGCUCCGAUGGAGGGGGCUUUAGAGGAUUUUAAAGAAAAGGAGAAGUUGCAAAAUGAGGUCGAGCUUUCUCUUUGGCUGAGGAUCAGGAUGCUAUCUUUCAAGGCGGCCUCUGGAUUAUCGUCAGCCAACUACUUGCUUUUGAAUCGUGGGUGCCAGAUUUUGUGCCAGACCAACAUAGUCAAGAAGAUGAUGGUGUGGAUGUGGCUUUCUGGUCU
rnacentral:lncRNA from 1 species